GACGUAGGGCGCGAGCGUUGUCCGGAUUUAUUGGGCGUAAAGAGCUCGUAGGCGGCUUGUCGCGUCGACUGUGAAAUCCCUCAGCUUAACUGGGGAACUGCGUCUGAUACUGGAAAGCUUGAGUGCAGGAGAGGAACGCGGAAUUCCAGGUGUAGCGGUGAAAUGCGUAGAUAUCUGGAGGAACACCGGUGGCGAAGGCGGCGUUCUGGACUGCAACUGACACUGAGGAACGAAAGCCAGGGGAGCAAACGGG
rnacentral:rRNA from 1 species